AAAGUCCCUGGCAGUCAGCCCAGUUGGGAAUGCAUUGUUGCGGAAGUAUGAUGUGAGAGGUGAUACUGGGUGGGAGAAUGAGUACCUGUGGGCUGUAGAGUCCCAUAUCCUGAUUGAGUUCAAAAUUGCUGGGCAGCGGAUCGCUGGUUUAUCAGCUUUAGGAACCUAAAUUCAGAAUUGUGGGAGAUCUGUGCUCAUGAG